rnacentral:misc_RNA from 1 species
UGGUUCUGGCAUCGAUGAAGAACGCAGCGAAAUGCGAUAAGUAGUAUGAAUUGCAGAGUUCAGUGAAUCAUCGAAUUUUUGAACGCACAUUGCGCCCAUUAGUAUUCUAGUGGGCAUGCCUGUUCGAGCGUCAUUUCAACCCUCUACGCCAUGGCUAGGCGUUGGUGUUGGAGCCUAUAUGCUACUCUGUAUAUAGCUCUUAAAAACAAGGGCGGCCUCUAUUUUAGAAUGCCUUCUGUGCAGUAAUUUCAGCUCACAUUAGGACUCUAUAGCAGACUAGCCUAGCAUAAAAAUAGUAGAACUAGUUUGACCUCGGAUCAGGUAGGGAUACCCGCUGA